CUGCCUUUUGGUUCGGAAUAACUCCGGGAAACUGGAGCUAAUACCGGAUGGUUCCUACGGGAUAAAGAUUUAUCGCCAAAAGAUGAGUCCGCGUACGAUUAGCUAGUUGGUGAGGUAAUGGCUCACCAAGGCGACGAUCGUUAGCUGGUCUGAGAGGACGAUCAGCCACACUGGGACUGAGACACGGCCCAGACUCCUACGGGAGGCAGCAGUGGGGAAUAUUGGACAAUGGGGGCAACCCUGAUCCAGCCAUGCCGCGUGAGUGAUGAAGGCCUUCGGGUUGUAAAGCUCUUUUGGCGGGGACGAUGAUGACGGUACCCGCAGAAUAAGCCCCGGCUAACUUCGUG
rnacentral:rRNA from 1 species